rnacentral:rRNA from 1 species
GAUGAACGCUGGCGGCGUGCUUAACACAUGCAAGUCGAACGGAAAGGCCACAGCUUGCUGUGGUACUCGAGUGGCGAACGGGUGUGUAACACGUGGGUGAUCUGCCCUGUACUUCGGGAUAAGCUUGGGAAACUGGGUCUAAUACCGGAUAGGAAUCACAUGUGGGUGGGUGGUUGGAAAGCUUUUGCGGUAUGGGCUGAGCUCGCGGCCUAUCCGCUUGUUGGUGGGGUAUUGGCCUACCAAGGCGUCGACGGGUAGCCGGCCUGGGAGGGUGUACGGCCACAUUGGGACUGAGAUACGGCCCAGACUCCUACGGGAGGCAGCAGUGGGGAAUAUUGCACAAUGGGCGCAAGCCUGAUGCAGCGACGCCGCGUGGGGGAUGACGGCCUUCGGGUUGUAAACUCCUUUCGUCAGGGACGAAGCGAAAGUGACGGUACCUGGAUAAGAAGCACCGGCUAACUACGUG